AUGGCUGCCUGCUCGCCCAUCUUGGCACCGCCGAGCUCGAGGACAAGGAAAGGUCGAGUACGUCGAUCUGGAAAAGAUCAUACCCACCCACCCCUGGAGCUGGAGGUGUUGGAGAAGUUGAGAUGCAGCAAAGAAGCGGCUCCAAAUCGAACUAUUGUAUUUAUUUUCCAGACUCGAAGGACACCAUAUCCAAGGCACCUCCUCUUCGGUUGUGAGAGUGUCCAGGAGUCGUGGGUGCAGCUAAUGCCUAUGUCUGUGGCCGCACUUGACACUGCCCUCUCUUUAAGGGCUGAUUGGAGCCUAUUUUUUGCUUUAAAUCCUAUUUUUUGA
rnacentral:rRNA from 1 species